rnacentral:rRNA from 1 species
CUACGGGGUGCUGCAGUGGGGAAUAUUGGACAAUGGGGGGAAACCCUGAUCCAGCAAUGCCGCGUGUGUGAAGAAGGCCUGCGGGUUGUAAAGCACUUUCGGUUGGGAGGACUGCUUCUAGCACUAAUAUUGUUGGAAGUUGACGUUACCUUCAGAAGAAGCACCGGCUAACUCCGUGCCAGCAGCCGCGGUAAUACGGAGGGUGCAAGCGUUAAUCGGAAUUACUGGGCGUAAAGCGCGCGUAGGCGGCUAGAUCAGUCGGGUGUGAAAGCCCCGGGCUUAACCUGGGAACUGCAUCCGAUACUGUCUAGCUUGAGUACAGGAGAGGAGAGUGGAAUUCCACAUGUAGCGGUGAAAUGCGUAGAUAUGUGGAGGAACACCAAUGGCGAAGGCAGCUCUCUGGCCUGAUACUGACGCUGAGGUGCGAAAGCGUGGAGAGCAAACAGGAUUAGAUACCCCGGUAGUC